GUGACAUUUUUGGUUGUCACAACCGGGGGAGGGGUGCUACUGGCAUUUAGUGGGUAGAGCCAGAGAUGUAGCUAAACAUCCUUCAAAGCACAGGACAGCCCCCUACAACAAAGAAUUAUCCAGCCCCCGAUGCCAAUAGUGUCCAGCUGUGGUUCUGCAGUGCUGUGUUCCUAUACAACCAGCAGGUCUGUCCCCGGAACGGAAGGAAGCUGCUCCCAGCCCAGAUUUUGACUUUCAAUCUUUCCAACAAGCACUGAGCGUGUGGCAUCUACUGGGAGGAUUUGUGCUGAGGGCUGCAAGGGAAUAUGGAUAAAUCAGGCAACGUUUGCAACCUACGGAGGAGGGGGAAACAGAUGUGCAGCUAAUGGUGACUGUAACAAGACACAUGCCGUGGGGAGAGGUUUAAAUGGAGCUUUAGUGGAACGCAGAAGAGGGAACAAUUAAUUUCUAACUCAGCAAAGAUGAUUCAGGGAAGAGCUGGGAGAUGGGAGAGUUGGGCUCAGGAUUUCCUGGGAGACAUCCAGGUGGAAAGAGAGACACUUUCUAGGCAAAGGAAUGAACUGGAUGCUAAGGCAGGGGGGCGGGAGGGAGCCCAGGAGACUGGGAAUUCUGGGCAGGUGUUCUGGGAGGUGGGAAGGCCGCAAUGGGAAGACUGGAACAUGGGAUUGGAAGGAUCAGAGGACACCAAGUUUCAGGAUAAGGACUCUCCUUAUUGGAGAGCAGCAGCAGAUCGCUGAGCAAAGCAACGACAGGAUGAGAGUAUCUUAAACCAACAGUUGGCAAACGUCUUCCUGGAAAGAACCAGACAGACAGUAAAUAUUUCAGGCUUUGCGGGCCAUAUGGUCUCUGCCGCAACUAUUCAACGCUGCCGCUGUGGCAUGAAAGCAGCCGCAGAUGAGACAUAAACAAAUCGGCAUGGCUGUGUUCCAAUAAAACUUUAUUUAUGUUCACUAAAAUCUGAAUUCUCUGUCAUUCUCAUGUGUCAUAAAAUAGUAUUCCUUUUUAACUUUGUCCAAUCAUUGAAAA
rnacentral:lncRNA from 1 species